CGGUAAUACGGAGGAUCCAGGCGUUAUCCGGAAUCAUUGGGUUUAAAGGGUCCGUAGGCGGUCAGAUAAGUCAGUGGUGAAAGCCCAUCGCUCAACGGUGGAACGGCCAUUGAUACUGUCUGACUUGAAUUAUUAGGAAGUAACUAGAAUAUGUAGUGUAGCGGUGAAAUGCUUAGAGAUUACAUGGAAUACCAAUUGCGAAGGCAGGUUACUACUAAUUGAUUGACGCUGAUGGACGAAAGCGUGGGUAGCGAACAGGAUUAGAUACCCUGGUAGUCCACGCCGUAAGCGAUGGAUACUAGCUGUUGGGAGCAAUCUACUGAGCUGACCAGCCGUGAUAAGUAUCCCACCUGGGGAGUACGUUCGCAAGAAUGAA
rnacentral:rRNA from 1 species